UACGUAGGGGGCAAGCGUUGUCCGGAAUUAUUGGGCGUAAAGCGCGUGUAGGCGGUCCGGUAAGUCCGCUGUGAAAGCCGGGGGCUCAACCCUCGAAUGCCGGUGGAUACUGUCGGGCUAGAGUACGGAAGAGGCGAGUGGAAUUCCUGGUGUAGCGGUGAAAUGCGCAGAUAUCAGGAGGAACACCAAUUGCGAAGGCAGCUCGCUGGGACGUUACUGACGCUGAGACGCGAAAGCGUGGGGAGCAAACAGG
rnacentral:rRNA from 1 species